rnacentral:lncRNA from 1 species
UUAUUACCUUUCAAUCAGACCAAACACGUGACUGUCAGGGAAAUGAAACAGCAAGGCAACAGAGCCCUUAUCAGUAGUAGAAAGCAAAAGCCAUGUUGGAUUGCUGUAAAAUCCCUCACUUGCACUAAAAAUCCUAAGGUGGAGGAGGAUUACUCUCAGGCUUAACCACAGAAGUUGUAUCUGGAGGCUGAGAAUGGUAAAUAGCCAUAGCCAAUGAGAUUGGCAUCAUACAAAGCGCCUUAGAUUGAAGAAGCUGCAUCGCUGCUCCAACGUUUUCUUCCAUCAGUUUAGCGACUUGGCGUUCAGUGCCAUCGUUAGACCAUUUCUCCCACGCAGGUUGUGGUGCCCUUCCACCUUCACCAGAUUCAUCCUAUUGAGAGAUGACAACAACCAGUUUAAGUCAAAAUCCAUUUACUAAAGUUUUGAUAUUUUCUUUUUAAAAGUUUGAUUUUUCUCUUACCUCAACUGAUGAUGACAAAGGCAUAUCAGUAACAAGUGGAGCAACUGCACCGGCUCCACCAAGACGACUCAUGCUCAAAACCUACCAAAAGUUGACCAUAGAAACAUAUAAAAUCAUCAUUCAAAGAGAUAAGCUUUAUCCCAUGAAAACAAAAAAAGCUCAAAUAAAAGAUUUUUUUUUUUAAAUUAUGUUUAUCAGAAAGACAUCAUUGCAGUGUCUCCAUUAUCUAUUUAAAGUAAAGAAAGUAAAGAAAGACAUCCUUUUUAGCUUGGUAAGAGAAGCUUUAAGCAACCUACUGCAUUUUGAUAUUAAGAAGCGUUUGAUCUAAGAGAUUAUAUAUAUAAUCAGAGCAUGAUGAUUAUACUAGAUGUUUUAAUAUGGUAUUUUAAUCCUAAACCAUGAUUAGCCUUCUCUACAUGACAAAACUAAAAAAAGUGAAAAGAGACUAAGUGCCAAAGAAAAACAAAGACUUGUUUAUCCUUUCCUACAUUAAAAAAAUCAAUCUAACCAAGGUUGAAAUUAGGUUGAAGAGUAGGUGAAGGUAGGACCAUAAUUAAAGACCCAAAAAAUCCAUUUUGUAGAAUUUAAACAUUACUCAAUAACUUCAAAAACAUGAUUUUCAGAUCUAACACAAACAACUAGUUCAAGAAUUUAAACAUUACCUUAACUUGGAGCCUGAGAAACUUUACAUAAUCCACAAUCUCAUCAAUCAUAGCAGCUCUAUCUGUCUGCAAAUAAAAAUGAAAGGACCAAGAAGUGUUAAACUUUCAAGAAUUCUAAAUGUUACCAAAACCUUCAAAGAUAGCAACCUUGUUAACAGUAGGUACAAGCUCUUGCAACGCCCUGAUCCGCUCCGCUAUUCUUUCCCUCGUGAGUGUUUCGUUCAUCUCUAUGCUUUUGAUUCUUCUAAUUUGAAAUUAAAUGUAAUCUGAUUGUUGUUGAUUCGAUUACUUUAUAGCACCUGGAUUCUCCUGAUAACAAACCGGAUCUUCCAUGGGAGUUUUCAGAGGCCAACAAAUCCAAGGUGAGUCACUGAAUCAAAUCCCUUCUUUGCUAAUGAUAAUGACGAAAACAAUUUACAGUGUGUUGAACUAAUUGGGGCUUUCUGUAAUAUAGAUUGUCACCUUUGUUACCUAAUUUUUGAUGUGUAAGGUGUUAAGUUACAGCACAUAUGUGGAAAAAUCUUUAGCUCUAGGGUCCAUACAGAGUAGAAAGAGUUCAAGGAAUGGUUUGUUUGAUCCUGUGAGUUAGCAUUUUCCUAGAAAGGGUAGUUAAACAGCGAAGAAUUGGAAUUCCUGAUAUUUUCUUUGAAUUCGCUAUUUAGGAACUGAUAUAAGGGAGAAAGACUGUCGGGGAAAUAGUAAACUGGUUUUAUGGAGUAGGAAUACUAGUAUAUCUUGUGCAUUUUGGUUCCUGUUCACUGCUUCUGUCAUGUCUAGCUCCCAUGCAUGUCGUUCUAAUAGUUUGUUUAAUCUCUCUAGGUUAAGGAGAUACUCUCUUACUACCCAUCAAACUACAAGCAGUCUGCAGUGAUCCCUCUUCUUGAUCUUGCACAGCAACAGCAUGGUGGCUGGCUCCCUGUUUCUGCAAUGAAUGCGGUACUUCUUUUGUUUUAAAGUAUUUUUCAGCUGUACUCUUAAUGAAAAGACUGUGAAGUUGAUGUUUUUAAUAUUCUGAAGUUACCAGGUUCUUUUAUCUGUUGAUAUGAUUUUACCAACCUAGCAAUAUAACAAAAAUUUUGCAGGUUGCAAAAGUUAUAGAAGUUGCUCCUAUCCGUGUUUAUGAGGUUGCAACCUUCUACUCAAUGUUCAACAGGGCAAAGGUACUUACUACUAAGUCAAGUCUCUCUGCUGUACUCACCAAAAUACACAUCGAACACUCAAUUCUUCAUUUUGCUCUUACAGGUCGGAAAGUACCACCUGCUAGUUUGUGGCACAACACCUUGCAUGAUCCGUGGUUCACGAGAGAUCGAAUCAGCUUUGCUAGACCAUUUGGGAGUGAAGCGCGGUGGUAAGGCUCUAUAAUCCACCUUUCAUAAACAAAAUCAUAUAGGUUGCUCAUUCAUAACGAUAUCUGGCUUUAAUCAUGUAUAUUGCAGAAGUCACAAAGGAUGGUUUGUUCUCUGUUGGAGAGAUGGAAUGCAUGGUAUGUUGUUCUUAUCACCUAGAUAGGUACCAAAGGAAGAUACAGUACAGGUCUAAUGUAAUCGGUUUCGUUGACAGGGAUGCUGUGUGAAUGCGCCCAUGAUCACUGUGGCGGAUUAUUCCAAUGGAUCAGAAGGAUACACAUAUAACUAUUUCGUAUGUCAAAUCUCAUCAAAUUAACUUUUCUGUUCUUCCUUCGUUUAUGUGGGUAUAAGAUGACAAAGAGUUAAACCGUAUUUACACUUGUCUUAUUGCUACAAUACACAGGAAGAUGUUACACCUGAGAAAGUUGUAGAGAUCGUUGAGAAGCUGAGAAAAGGAGAAAAGCCACCGGUAAGACAUUAAACUUACCUUUAAACCAAAAGCCGAAAGCCAAAUGCAACUUCUCAUUAUCUAAUCUUUUGUUGCAGCAUGGAACUCAAAACCCGAAGAGGAUCAAGUGCGGACCUGAAGGAGGAAACAAGACACUGCUCGGCGAACCAAAGCCACCACAGUUCCGUGAUCUUGACGCUUGCUAAGCUAAGUUAUUUAAGCCGCCGGUUCUAUGUGGUUCAAAUAAUGCAAAAGGCUAUAGUGAUGUUUGAAGCCUAUAGCAUGAGAUUUGAGUUUGCAUACUCUUUGUAGUCUUCUUGAUUUGAAAUUUUAGACGCCGUUUUAAAACGAAUAAAAGCAUUUCUUUUGUUAUCAUCUCACUUCCAAGACUUGUGAAAUUGAUGUAAUAAAAACAUUUCCAAAAUAUUGAUUUCUUUUGGAACAUUAUUUGGUUAUUUUGUCACUCCCAAGUCAUACAAAAUAAAUAAUUAAUACAAGGGUUAACAUAUUCAAAUACUUUAUUUUUCUUCAGGUCCCACACACUCACCGCUACUACUACUACUACUAAAAUACCCCUUCAAGCUCCAUCCUCAACCUCCUACUAAAGUCAUGAAAACAUAAAGUUGCUUUCAUCAAAGUCCACCUAAAAUGAUAACAAAUCAUAUUUAAUCAAGUGAGCUUUUUGACAAAUCCUCCCUUCUACUGCAAAUCCUAUUGAUUCAAUCUCCAAAGCAUUUUUCUUAUUAUUACCUUUCAAUCAGACCAAACACGUGACUGUCAGGGAAAUGAAACAGCAAGGCAACAGAGCCCUUAUCAGUAGUAGAAAGCAAAAGCCAUGUUGGAUUGCUGUAAAAUCCCUCACUUGCACUAAAAAUCCUAAGGUGGAGGAGGAUUACUCUCAGGCUUAACCACAGAAGUUGUAUCUGGAGGCUGAGAAUGGUAAAUAGCCAUAGCCAAUGAGAUUGGCAUCAUACAAAGCGCCUUAGAUUGAAGAAGCUGCAUCGCUGCUCCAACGUUUUCUUCCAUCAGU